AUGAACGCUGGCGGCGUGCCUAAUACCUGCAAGUCGAGCGAACAGACGAGGAGCUUGCUCCUCUGACGUUAGCGGCGGACGGGUGAGUAACACGUGGAUAACCUACCUAUAAGACUGGGAUAACUUCGGGAAACCGGAGCUAAUACCGGAUAAUAUAUUGAACCGCAUGGUUCAAUAGUGAAAGACGGUUUUGCUGUCACUUAUAGAUGGAUCCGCGCCGCAUUAGCUAGUUGGUAAGGUAACGGCUUACCAAGGCAACGAUGCGUAGCCGACCUGAGAGGGUGAUCGGCCACACUGGAACUGAGACACGGUCCAGACUCCUACGGGAGGCAGCAGUAGGGAAUCUUCCGCAAUGGGCGAAAGCCUGACAGAGCAACGCCGCGUGAGUGAUGAAGGUCUUCGGAUCGUAAAACUCUGUUAUUAGGGAAGAACAAAUGUGUAAGUAACUAUGCACGUCUUGACGGUACCUAAUCAGAAAGCCACGGCUAACUACGUG
rnacentral:rRNA from 1 species